AGCUUAUCUAAUUAACAUAAACUAGAUACGGCAGUCAACCAAUAAGGAAUCUCCACACUUAAUGGCUCGCUGGCAUUACUUCACAAACCACUCCCCCUGGCAAAAUGCCAGGCGCUAUCUUGACUUGUUUACAGACCCUAACAACUGGUCUCAAAACUCUGUUACCCCACUUCAGAGCACAUGUUGAAUAGGAGCAGUACAUCACAUAAUCAGUAUCUGCUUUACUGAGAAGUGCAAUAAUAUAGCCCUAGUAUUAAUUAGCUUCAAAAUGAGGUCAUCUGACACAGAUAUGUUGGUGAGAAGGAGUGGAUGAAAAAUAUCUAACUGAAACAACACCAGAAUUCUGCUGAAAAAAUCCUCUGAAGUGUGAGCAUGUAGACUAGAUAUAUAAAUGCAAAUUGUUAUGGUUUGGAUGUGAGGUGUUCCCCAGAAGCUCACAUGUGAGACAAUGCUGGAAGGAUCAGAGGUGAAAUAAUUGGAAUGUAAGAGUCUUAACCCAAUCAGUGAAAUAAUCCCUGGUGGGAUUAAGAGGUGGUAGGAAUUGGGGAGUGGUUAUGGGAAUUCAUUUUGUAUCUAGAGAAUGGAGUCUGUCUUUCCCUCGCUCUCUCUCUGCUUCCUAAUCAUGGUGAUGUGAGUUGCUUCCCUCUGCCACCCUCUCCCACCAUGAUGUUCAUCCUCACCUUGAACCCCCCAAAAUGGAGCUGGCCUUCUAUGGACUAAGACCUCUGAUACCGUGAGUUCUCAAGGAAAGCUUUCCUCCCCUACAAUUUUUUUCUGGUUGGGUCCUUUAGUCAUAGCUGUGAAAAAGCUUACAAAAACAGAAAUCAAGCAAAAUUCACUUUCUAUUCCUCAAAUAUCAUUGCUACUAUACAUGAGUGUGUGCAUAUUUACCUGUCCUCCUGAAAAUAAGGAAAGUAAAUAUUAGUUUUAAUCAUUAAGAUCCUUUUAGUUGAAGAACUAGAAUCUCAGCUCAACCCGGUUCUACUUAAGGGGCCUGCUCUUUAUACCUGGUUUGCAACAGCAGCUCAACUGUCUCUGCAGGACCCUCCUGUUCUCCCUAACUAUUACUCAUCAUUUCCUGUUUAUGCAUCUCUUUAUGAGCUGAACUCCUUUGGGUCUUCUUUAUCUGGCUGUCUUCUUUGCAGAACCGAAACCACAGGGAAGAGGGGGCUUCACAAAAGAAGUCCUGGGAAGGAGCUAUCAAUCUGCAUGCUGCUGUGACUGCUGGGUAAAUGGGUGUGUUAGAGACAUUCCUGUUGUGUAGGGUCGGGAGGAGCUUGCUGAGGAAAAUGGAGGCACAGUGUAUUAAUUUGCAAGGUUGCUGUAACAGUACUAUAGAUUGGGUGGCUUAAAUAACAGAAAUGUGCUUUCUCAUGGUUCUGGAGACCAGGAGUUCAAAAAUCAAUAUGUCAACAAGUGUGGUUCUGAGAGCUGUGAAGAAAGGAUCUGUUUCGGGACCCUCUUCUUGACCUAUAGAUGACUAUCUUCUCCCUAUGUCCCUUCAUUUUUUUCUCACCUCUAUGUGUCUCUCUCUGUGUCCAGAUGUGCCCCAGUCAUUUUUGUGUUUUUGUUUGCUUGGGGGAACUGGGGAUGGAACCUAGGGCCUCACCCAUGCUAAACAAAUGCUCUACCACUGAGCUACACCCCCAGCUCCUACUUUUGUUAUAAAUCACCAGUCAUAUUAGAUUAGGACCUACCUUAAUAAUCUCAUCUUUAAUUUGAUUUCACCAUAAAGACCCUACCUUCAAAUGAAAUCGUUUUCUGAGGUACCAGAUUUUAGAACUCCAGCAAACCUUUCUCAGGGGGACACAGAUCAACUCAUAGCAUAUUGCUUGUUAAAACAAGGGAGUCAGAAUUAACCCUGAGAAGACAAAUCUCAACUACUACAUUCUAGUCUACACACUUUUGCUAUAUGGAUAUGCAAAUGAUAUGCAAAUGAAGGAUACUAAAGAAGAUAUAAUCACCCUUCCUCUUUUCCCUCAAAUAUAAAAAGACCAGAUUUUUUUUUGUAUUAGCAUUUAUAACAUAUAUCUGAGCUCCUUUCACUGUUGAAUAUCUAGGUCAUUCAAGGUCCUAAGAAAAUUAUUAUUUGGUAGUUUUCUAU
rnacentral:lncRNA from 1 species